ACUCCUACGGGAGGCAGCAGCAAGGAAUUUUGUGCAAUGGGCGAAAGCCUGACGCAGCAACGCCGCGUGGGGGAUGAAGGCCUUCGGGUUGUAAACCCCUUUUCUCGAGGAAGAAAAAUGACGGUACUCGAGGAAUAAGUCUUGGCUAACUACGUGCCAGCAGCCGCGGUAAU
rnacentral:rRNA from 1 species